GGAGUUAGCCGGUGCUUCUUCUGUGAGUGAUGUCCUUCCUGCCGGCUAUUAACCCGCAGGCCUUCUUCCUCACUGAAAGUGCUUUACAACCCGAAGGCCUUCUUCACACACGCGGCAUGGCUGGAUCAGGGUUGCCCCCAUUGUCCAAUAUUCCCCACUGCUGCCUCCCGUAGGAGUCUGGGCCGUGUCUCAGUCCCAGUGUGGCUGAUCAUCCUCUCAGACCAGCUACGGAUCGUCGCCUUGGUGAGCCGUUACCUCACCAACCAGCUAAUCCGACAUAGGCUCAUCCGAUAGCGCGAGGCCCGAAGGUCCCCCGCUUUCCCCCGUAGGGCGUAUGCGGUAUUAGCCUGGGUUUCCCCAGGUUAUCCCCCACUACCCGGGCAGAUUCCUAUGCAUUACUCACCCGUCCGCCGCUCGCCACCAGGGAGCAAGCUCCCCGUGCUGCCGCUCGACUUGCNUGUGUAGCNCGCCGCCACGCGUCAUCUGAGCAUGAUACAACUCUGA
rnacentral:rRNA from 1 species